GUAUAAUGGGUCAGCGACUUAUAUUCUGUAGCAAGGUUAACCGUAUAGGGGAGCCGCAGGGAAACCGAGUCUUAACCGGGCGUUAAGUUGCAGGGUAUAGACCCGAAACCCGGUGAUCUAGUCAUGGGCAGGUUGAAGGUUGGGUAACACUAACUGGAGGACCGAACCGACUAAUGUUGAAAAAUUAGCGGAUGACCUGUGGCUGGGGGUGAAAGGCCAAUCAAACCGGGAGAUAGCUGGUUCUCCCCGAAAGCUAUUUAGGUAGCGCCUCGUGAAUUCAUCUCCGGGGGUAGAGCACUGUUUCGGCUAGGGGGCCAUCCCGGCUUACCAACCCGAUGCAAACUGCGAAUACCGGAGAAUGUUAUCACGGGAGACACACGGCGGGUGCUAACGUCCGUCGUGAAGAGGGAAACAACCCAGACCGCCAGCUAAGGUCCCAAAGUCAUGGUUAAGUGGGAAACGAUGUGGGAAGGCCCAGACAGCCAGGAUGUUGGCUUAGAAGCAGCCAUCAUUUAAAGAAAGCGUAAUAGCUCACUGGUCGAGUCGGCCUGCGCGGAAGAUGUAACGGGGCUAAACCAUGCACCGAAGCUGCGGCAGCGACACUCAGGUGUUGUUGGGUAGGGGAGCGUUC
rnacentral:rRNA from 1 species